rnacentral:lncRNA from 1 species
GAAAUAUUUUGCAACCAAAAUUUUUGGCGUAGUGCAAUCAAAUUUCGCCAUCGUUGAGUGAUAUGCGGCCGGUUUUAGUGCAAAAUCAAUUGAUUUUGUACAUACAAAUAAAAGUAUGGCUCGCAGUUUGCCGACUCUGGUCACGUUAAGUUGGGUGGCGAAAGAUUUAUUUACAAUUCAUCGUGGCAAGUAUCAAACAAGAAAAUAGAACCCGCAGAAUAUUGUAGCGUCCUUUCUGCUUCUCAAUUUUGAACAGUGCGACAAUACAGCUGGUACUAGCCUAUAGGUAUUGUAAAAAUAAAUUUACAAGUAUACUAUUUAUAGCAGGUAUAUAUGUAUAACUAUGUAAUAUUUGUUAUGAUAGACUGGUGGAAUAUUUGUAUGAUCUGAAUUAUGCAUUAUCAUUAAAUUUCAUGGCAACCAUGUAAUAUUAGACACGUCUCAUAGACCCAUGGUUUGUCGGCAAACCGUAAAUUAAUGCUGAAUUUCUCAGGUAUACAGUGAAAUUCAUUCUUGAAUCACAACUUAUUGUUUCAAUACUCCAGCUAUCUGGCGCGCGACUUAAAACCUUUAUUGCUUUAAUUAAAAAAGACACUACACUUCUCAAAGAGUCCAAAACGUUGAUCGUGAAUGGAAUUUGUUCAAGGAUUAAAUUCAUUUGGGAUUGGGAAUGGCCGACAAGGAGUUAACGUAUGAAAGAUAUUACAUGUCAUGAAUUUCAUGUAUCUUAUAAGCAAUAUCCAUGCAGAAUACUGGACAUCCCCAUCCAGCCCAGUCAAGCAGAAAAUCGUUUGUAAUUCAACCAAAAUUUGAUGGAUUUGUUCUUGGCAUAUGACCAUUGAUUCUACAAUUUACCUUCUGACGUACAAACACAAACCAUAGUUAAUAUAUAUAUAUUAACUAUGCACAAACUAACAUGCACAUACGAAGUCACUGAUUCGAAGUUACUGAUUCGAAGUUCACAGGAGGCAGGAUCGGAAGUGUGUCUCAUAUUUGCAUAUCAAGUUUCAAUUGCUAUCAAAGCUGGAAGAACUUUACACCAUACAAAACAACACCAUAUAUAUUAUAGCAUUAGGUGGCCAAUUUACAGGAAUAUUUGUUAAGCAGGUAAGUAACUAUGUAAUAUUAUAAUAGACUUUUAAUUUGAGUGAUUCAGUAUUGACUAUUGGUACUAGUCGUAUGAAAACGUAUUAUAUAUAUAUAUAUAUAUAUAUAUGAUAUGUAGUUCAUUGCCCCCACAUAUUUCCGUUCUCUGACUCUGGUUUGUGUACUAAGUUAUGUCAUCUCAAUGAAAUUUAGAUAUGUGUCCAAGAUACAGUGGGAGGGCUCUCCUAACUGACUUCAUUCUGAGGACAAGUACAAGUACUGCAAAGAACUAACUAUAUUAGAUAUGCAGUAACAGCUUAAUCAGCCUGAAUUAAUACAAAAUGUGUAUAAGCUUUUUGCACGGGCCACAUUUUCUCACCACAUUGAGUGUGAAAACUGAAAAGUAUACAGCUAGUAAGUUUCUAUCCGAGGGCGUCCAUUAUCUGAAGAUUUUGCCACUACCCCAUGCACCUAACCCAACACCCCUGAUCCACCCUUAAAAGUUCAUAUAUAGCAACCAAAUAUAAUAUGAGAUAAAUAUACGUAAUCCCUCAAUAAAAUACAUUGCCAACCCAAUGUUUUCACAUUCCAGUCUAAUGUGAUGGUCUGGGGAAAUCGGGACGUUAGAUUACGCCUAAAGACACUAAAUUUCUCAGGAUUUUAGGCAUCUAAGAAGGCUUUUGACUUUUGUAGAUGUAAAUUUCGAGUGUGAAUUUUUAUACAUUUAUUAGACCUAACCAGGAACAGUUGCGGACAUUGCAACUAUACAGGGUGUAUAAAAAAUAAGGUAAUCGAACUUCAGCGCGCAAUUGUAUCUGAAUUACUCUGCGUAUGAACGAGAUUUUUUCACAUUCGGAAAGAUCAUGCUUUUAGCUGUUGAAUGAUAUCUUCUUCAUGCCAAAUGGACAAAAAAUGAGCAAAUACGAAUCCGAUAAAAAAUGUUAGUCAGAAUCGCAUAUUUUCACCGUUGAGAGUUGAGUCUAAAACCAUUGAAAAUGAACCCCCUUUAGGACUUAAGUUGAUGAAUUUCACUUCAUUAAACUGCACACAUAUUUAUAAUUAUUAUUAAGUAGGAAUAAAUCAUAGCUAAGCUACGACACGUUCGUGAUUAAUUGCUUUUUCUUUUGUUAUGCAUUGUUUUAAUUAGGCACAGAGGUGAAAAUAUGCAAUUUUGACUAAUAUUUUUAAUCGGCCUCGUACAUGCUUAUUUUUUCCCCACUUGGCAUGAAAAGCAUGUCAUUCAAUAGCUAAAAGCCUGAUCUUUCCGAAUAUGAAAACCAAUUGUUCGUACGCUGAGUAAUUCACGUAUAAUAGCGCGCUGAAGUUCGAUUACCUUUUUUUUAUACACCCUGUAUAGACCCUCUGGCAGGAAUCAAACCUGCGGUCCUGCGAUUCCGGUGCAGUGCUCUAACCAACUAAGCUACAUAGUCCAGUUGUCGAGCUCUAAUAGAUCGGUAGUACCGAAAAUACUGAACUAAAUCAAUAUACCUACAAUUCAAAGCAAACAUUCCCCAGCUUGUUUAUAGUAUUGGAAAUAUUUCUUCAGUACUUUGGUGUGGAUCAAUAGGAGUUUUGUUUUCUGACGUUUUGUAAUAAACAAACGUGCAGAGAGAUAUAUACACAAACUAAAACUACGGGUAAACUUUUAAUCCAUGGGCCGGUUGUUUAAAUCUGGAUUAGCGCUAACCCACGACGCGGUUAAAAUUUAACCUGCUGCAUGUUUUGGUUUAUGUAUUUCCACACGUCUGUUUGUUUCAAAACUUCAGAGAAGAAAACUUCUACUGAUCCAGACAAUAUUUCUGAAGAAAUAUUUCCAAAUUUCCAAGUUUGCUUUAAAUUUUAGGUUAGCCUAGGGUUAAGCUAUUAAUCUGCUUUCGAAAAACUGGCCCCAUGGUUAGCUCUAAUCCAUACUAAUUUGAAUUUGCUUUGCUGCAUGUCUGAUUAUAGAUUCAUAUAGAUUAAUAUCACAAGAUAUGACUGGUUUGGCGUUUGCCAUAUUACUUGGUCUCUAUUUUUUGUUAUUUCAGCCUUGUAAAGG